UACGUAGGAGGCAAGCGUUGUCCGGAAUCACUGGGUGUAAAGGGUGCGCAGGCGGUAAGGCAAGUCAAUGGUGAAAUCUCACGGCUCAACCGUGAAACUGCUAUUGAUACUGCUUUUCUUGAGUUUGGGAGAGGGUGGUGGAAUUCUUGGUGUAGCGGUGAAAUGCGUAGAUAUCAAGAAGAACACCAGUGGCGAAGGCGGCCACCUGGCCCAUAACUGACGCUCAUGCACGAAAGCGUGGGUAGCAAACAGG
rnacentral:rRNA from 1 species